AUUGAACGCUGGCGGCAGGCCUAACACAUGCAAGUCGAACGAGUGGCGGACGGGUGAGUAAUGUCUGGGAAACUGCCUGAUGGAGGGGGAUAACUACUGGAAACGGUAGCUAAUACCGCAUACCAUCGGAUGUGCCCAGAUGGGAUUAGCUAGUCGGUGGGGUAAAGGCUCACCUAGGCGACGCUCCCGAGCUGGUCUGAGAGGAUGACCAGCCACACUGGAACUGAGACACGGCCCAGACUCCUACGGGAGGCAGCAGUGGGGAAUAUUACACAAUGGGCGCAAGCCUGAUCCAGCCAUGCCGCGUGUGUGAAGAAGGUCUUCGGAUUGUAAAGCACUUUAAGUUGGGAGGCGUUACCAACAGAAUAAGCACCGGCUAACUUCGUGCCAGCAGCCGCGGUAAUAC
rnacentral:rRNA from 1 species